rnacentral:rRNA from 1 species
AGUUAUGUUCUUUAAAUUUAAAAAAUUUGGCGGUGUUUUARUCUAGUYAGAGGAACCUGUGUUAUAAACGAUACAACACGCAUUAUUCUACUUAUUAUAGUGUAUCAGCUUGUAUACCGUCAUUAUAAGAUAAUUUAGGAGAAAAUAUUAUUGAAAUCAUAUUAUUGAGUAUAUUAGAUCAAGGUGCAGCUUAUGGGUAAGUAAACAUGGGUUACAAUAAAAUUUAUUUAAUAUGAAUUAAAUGUUUAAAUAUGUUUAUGAAGGAGGAUUUAAUUGUAAGGAGAGAGUAKUGAGCUUUUCUGAU